AUUGAACGCUGGCGGCAGGCCUAACACAUGCAAGUCGAACGGUAACAGGAAACAGCUUGCUGUUUCGCUGACGAGUGGCGGACGGGUGAGUAAUGUCUGGGAAACUGCCUGAUGGAGGGGGAUAACUACUGGAAACGGUAGCUAAUACCGCAUAACGUCGCAAGACCAAAGAGGGGGGCCUUCGGGCCUCUUGCCAUCGGAUGUGCCCAGAUGGGAUUAGCUAGUAGGUGGGGUAACGGCUCACCUAGGCGACGAUCCCUAGCUGGUCUGAGAGGAUGACCAGCCACACUGGAACUGAGACACGGUCCAGACUCCUACGGGAGGCAGCAGUGGGGAAUAUUGCACAAUGGGCGCAAGCCUGAUGCAGCCAUGCCGCGUGUAUGAAGAAGGCCUUCGGGUUGUAAAGUACUUUCAGCGGGGAGGAAGGGAGUAAAGUUAAUACCUUUGCACAUUGACGUUACCCGCAGAAGAAGCACCGGCUAACUCCGUG
rnacentral:rRNA from 1 species